GAACGCCACUUGCGCCAGCAGCGUGCCCCAGCUCAAUAGCGGAAGCCGGAAGAGAGCUGGCCGGAAGACACGUACCCCCUGAAGAAGAGAGAGCGAGAGCCCGAGGAGAACGGAGAGCAUGAGCGCGAGCCCCUGUCUACCACGUAGCAGUUACAUCAGACUGGCUUCCUGAGGCCCUCACCAAAUUCAGACACUGGCACUAGGCAGAAUGAGCCUGGGAAGUUCAAGAUGGAGGCACCUGUAGAUUUGUUAUCAGAUAAGAAAAUUGAUUUUAUCUAUUUACCUUGAAUGCAGAGAUUUUGCUAAAACAGAUUAAUCCAGAUGGAAUGAUACUGAAGUCUCUGAAGAUACAAAGAUGGAGAGAAUAUAGUCAAUGAGCUGUACUCAAAAAAGUUCAACAGAGCAUCAUCAGCAAGUCUAAUCCUCUAUGCUUCAUGUCUUUCUUAUUGACAAAAUACACCCACCUCCCAAGGCAUUCAAGAGUCCCUUCCUGUUACAGCAUCGUCUCAAAGUUGCAUGGAAUUUUCAGUCUCUUUGAAUUAUACAAAUGGGAUUAGACUUUAAAAUUAAUUUUAACUUCUCAUAACAAUAUUGAAUCAAAAGUUGUGACUCUUCAAAAAGGUAUGUAUAGUUUAUAUGGCCAUUGGGAUGGCUUGGUUUUACUUCGUGUACCCCAGCCUCUUCAGCAGUCAGUAAUAUAGUUGCUCUCCACCCCUAAUUUGAAAAAAUAUAUUGAAAGAAUUUGUUAAUCAUACUUUAAUUUUUUAAAAUGAAUAUAUUCUAUAUGCUUUUGCGCUUAUAUAUAUACAAAGAAACAUGUUAUGUAUAGUAGCAAAGUGUGUGUGUGUGUGUGUGUGCACGUGUGUGUACUAUACAUAUAUGUGAUACUGACUUAGUCUACUUGUUUUGCUAUAAAGUAACACCUGAGACUGGGUAAUUUAUAAAGAAGAGAUUUAUUUGGCUUGUACUUUGCAAGGCUGUUUGAGAAGCAUGGCAUCAGCAUCUGCCUCUGGUGAGAUCCUCAGGCUGCUCAGCUCAUGGCAGAAGGUGAAGGGGAGUAGGCAUGUGCAGAGAUCAUGUGGUGAGAAGAAGAUGGCAAGAGAGGGAGAAGGAAUGUGCCAGGCUCGUUUUAACAAUCAGCUCUCAUGAGAACUAAUAGAGCAAGAACUCACUCAUCACCUUGAGAUUAGCACCAAGCCUUCAUAAGGGAUCCGCUCCCAUGAUCAAAACAUGAGGUCCCAUCUCCAGCAUUGGGAAUCUAAACUCAAUAUGAGGUUUUGAGGGUUAAAUAUCCAAACCGUAGAAAAUACUUACUCAAGUUUUAGUUACUAUUUUUAAGCAAAUGUUAUGCUUUCUCUAUCACAUCAUUCAAAUAUAUAAAUGGAAUUUUUAUGAUAAUGUGAAUAGGAAUUUAGAAUGAAAAUAGCUUAAAUAAAUGCCAUAAGAACUUUUCCUUAUGAAUAUGCUAUGAGACUACAGUGAAGACCUCUCAAUGUUCAUUGUUAUUCACAGAAAGUCAAAUGUUAAGUUUUUCUCAAUUUAUUUAUUUUAAAUUUUCACAUUAAUAAUAGUAAUUUGUUUUAAAUGUUUAUUGCAAUGAAAUAAUGAUUAAAACUAUAAACUAAUGCACAAAUGAAAAAAUAACAGGCAUGUGUUAAUAAGACUAGUUUGUCAAAUUAAGAGUCGGAGAACAAACAUAUAAAUGAACGAAAAUUAUAAAAAUAUGUUACUAUGUUAGAGUUACAUUGAUUUUUAUUUUGAAACAAACUCAUUGUUCCUUAAAAUCAGAAUGCAAAUGCAAAUGUACCUUUAGAAUGGAAUUUUUUUUUCAAUAUUAGAUCUGCAUGGAGAAUAUUAACUUUCCCUACUUAAAUGGAACAAUAUUAGAUUUUAAAAAUAAUUGUCCUGAAGAAACUGGAAAUAAGAAAUUUAUUUGGCUAUUAAUUUGCCUAAGGAUAAAUUCUUGGUUUUGCUUUUAUUAUUAAAAAAGUUAAUCUAUUCUGCAUUUCCGUUUAGAGUUUCAAAAACAAUUACAAAAUGAAGCUUAAGUUUUUCUGCCUCAUGCUCAUUAAAAGCAAUGAAACCUCUGGCUGUUUUAUGAAAAAAUUAUUUAAGACUUAGGAAGCUGGAAGCCAGUUAAAAUGUGUUGUUUAAAUAUUCGGAAGACUCUCAGUUAAGAUAGUUCUGAUGUUACCACUUUAGAACUUACUGGUUGUUUAGAAUGAAGAAGUAGGAAAAUAUCAAUGCAAAGGAAAUAACUGCAAUGGAAAAAAGGGAAUUUUUCUCCCUCAGGCUUAGGGAAUUUUAUACCAUAUCCCAAGCCUUCUUAAAACAGUUUCCUCCAAAAUGAAAAGAAGAUCUCUCUCAUAAUGCAACACAGAAGACAAAAAACAGUUUAUAAAAUCCAAUCCCAAAAGUGAACUUAAAGCACUAAAUUGUCUACAUAAACCCACAAUGCCAUCCAUGGCAUUAAUUUGAUUCACCUAUUGUUGCUUAUAUUGUAUUUGUUCUAUAUGUAUAGCCUAUUACUCAGUCACACCAAAACACAUUGUGUAGUGACUGUGUUCCUUAGUAUUUUUUUCUACUAUGUCUUUAAAAAUGAAGUUCUACCUUAUUUUCAUGUUCUCCUAAAAUUCUCAAAUUUUAACAGAGUUGCAUGGAUACAAACUCAAUGAAUGGGCAUAAAAUGCCUGAUUGAUUUCUUAAAACUGUAUAUAAAUUGUUAUAUAUCUUCAUAUAAGUGUUUUUAAGAAAGUUUUCUUAAACUUCUUUAAUUGUUAAAGAGGUCAUAAAACACAAAAUCAUUAUCGCUAAAUUUGUUUAUUGGGGUUCAAAUCUGUAGAAUGUAUAUGAAGCAUAUUUUUGUUUAAUAAAAAUAUUUAUUUCUUACCUCAUUCUCAAGUCUAGUAUCUCACAUGAUACAUGGAAGUGCUUACUAUGUAUUUAUUGAAUAUUUAAAUAAACAAACAAACCCAACAGUUUUGGACUCUGAAUCCUGAAUAAGUUAACUCAAUUGCUCAAGCUCACUGAAGCCAGCAUGUGCAAGUUAAGACAUGCAUUUCUGGUCUGUCUGAUAUAAUCACCAAAUGAGAACAUUUAAUGUUCCAAAGAACUGAAAAACACUUGAGACUUCAAGAUGCUUACUGUGUUGCUUUCACGAAGAAAUAUUCGCUGGCCUCUCCCUUUUCACCCACCGAGUUUGCUUAUCCCUUUACCUUUGCAAACCUCAGUCAUAGCAUAAUCUAUUGCAACUUGCAGUAUUGUUUGCUAAUCCCCAUGGUAUAAAUGCUUCUACCAAGGCUGAUUUUCAGCUAUUCAUGUGAUGUCAUGGGACACAAAGUUCAGAAGAAAUGAACACGGUGCGUUCAAUCCAGCUGAUAGUGUAGUGGCUGGCUCAGUACAUAAGUUCAGUAUUCUUGAUUUCCACCAAUGAACUGGCAUGACUUGAUUCUCCAACAGGUUAAACUUUAUUUAGUUCAAAAUAGAUAUUUAUUAAUUGGGUGGGAGUGUAAAGUAUGUAAAUUUUUAGGCAUACUUCUCAGAUUUCAAACAAGAAAGGAAAUAGAAGGCAUAUCAGAACACUUAGCUUUAAAUAUCAAUUUUUUUGUUUGUAGCAGGCUUAAUUCACUGUCACAAGAUUUUUGCCUAGGGAUAGACAUUGAAACACUACUCUAGGCACUGUUAUAAAGGGACAUUGAAGAUGAAAAGAUAAAUUAACAUUUUAAAUUAGGUAAGAUUAAAAUAGGCACACUAUGCUGGCUUAUUGAGGUGGGCUCAAAGAAAUCAUAGGAGCUGGUAAAAGCAGAAAAGGAAAACAAACAGAAGAGUGAGUCAACCAGAAAUAUAAAAAGCAUAUGAAGGAAUUAAGGAGCAAUCAAUAGUCUUAAAUAUGAACUACCUAGAGGAUACAAACAGUCUCUAGAAGAAUACUCCUCUUUCAGUGGUCAGCAAGGAAAUAUAGACCCCAGUGCUAACACUGCAUGAAAAUGAAUUUGGCCAAUCCCCUGAAUGAAACUGGAAGCAGAUUCUCCCUAGAGUCCCCAGAUAAGAGCUUCAAAUGACUGACACCAAACAUCUGACACACAAAAUUGUAGGAUAAUAAAUAAGUGUUAAGUUGCUAAAUUUGUGGUACAUUUGUUGCAGCAGUUAUAGAAAAGCAAUAUAGUGGGAGGGAGAGACAAAGUUUACUGUAAUGCCUUUGAAAGUUGUUUAGAGAUCUGAUGAAGUGAAAAAUACAUACCUGGAUUUUACUAGGGCUGGUGAUCCAAGCCUGCAGCAGCAGGAGGAGCAGCUGCACAUCAAACCAAAUUUCCUUUGCUUCUAUAAGGUAGCAGUCAUGAGUCAUUUAUGGAUAGGGCUGAAGACGAAAGUUCUAAGCUCCUUAAAAAAAAACUAUUUGCUUUUACCAAGCUAAUAUGUUGUACCUCUCUCCCCACUCAUUUUUUCUUUGAAAUAUUAUUAAACUAAUUUCAGUCUUCAUGUGUAAAUUAAAGUUAUUUAUCUACCUGGGUUGCUGAAAGAAUGACUGUUUAGAUUUGUGUUCAGUCCACUCUUCAUAGACUGAAACUAAAUAAGAAUAAUGUAACACGGAUAAUGGCAUGCAUAAUGAGGGAAACACAGGAUAAUCAUCUUAGUGUGAGAUGCAAAAGGGUGUUUAUUUUCUAAUCUGAUAUUUAAAAAUACUAUGCUUAAUUAGAUUUUAAAUUACUAACAUGGAUCUUAUGUAAAGUAAAAACAGUGAUAC